CAUUUGCAGAAGCUGAAUGGCACACAGAACGCUGGUUACGUGAAACUUGUUUGUUAUGUUGAAGAUCGUCUCUAGAUCUCGUCGCGUGAGAGAGUUCAGUACUCUGCCAUCUACCAGUUGGUUGUGAAAGACCUUCCUCGAUAGCAAGGCGGAGUUUUCUGCGAUGCAUGGGGCUAUUGACACCCAAACCCAGCUCUAGAUCAUCAUCAGUCAGGCCCAGUAACACCUGCAACAGGAAGCAGAUCACAGUGACAUCAUCAGCACACAAACUGGACACAUCACAGUUUUAUAAGUUUAGUGCUGUGUGCAAAUGUCUGUUUGACUAGGUAAUCAUUAACUUGGUAAAUAUCAGGAGGACAAAUUGAAAGCACGAAUGUACAUGGGCAUUGCCAUGACAACUUCCAACCAGGCCUGAACAGUGACCGCCUUCCACAAAGACAUGGGCUUGGUGCGGGUAAGCUCCGCCUGCUGCAGCCGCUCCAGCUGCUCCUCACCGUCUGAUUGGCCGGGAUGUGUCUGGCUGGAGAGGCUGUCCGAGUCUGGAUUGGUCAGACAAGAUGAUCUAUGGAGCAUUCUCAAAACAUGCUGGGAUAACACGGAUCAUCCGGCUUCACACAAACAUGUUGAGUCCAUGCAACUGGGGGUGCAUGCUGUCAUUCAAGCAAAAAGGGGGACAUACCAAAUC